rnacentral:rRNA from 1 species
GACGAACGCUGGCGGCGUGCUUAACACAUGCAAGUCGAGCGGUAAGGCCCUUUCGGGGGUACACGAGCGGCGAACGGGUGAGUAACACGUGGGUGACCUGCCCUUAGCUCUGGGAUAAGCCUGGGAAACUGGGUCUAAUACCGGAUAUGACUCCAUGACGCAUGUUGUGGGGUGGAAAGCCUUGUGCGGCUAGGGAUGGGCCUGCGGCCUAUCAGCUUGUUGGUGGGGUGAUGGCCUACCAAGGCGACGACGGGUAGCCGGCCUGAGAGGGCGACCGGCCACACUGGGACUGAGACACGGCCCAGACUCCUACGGGAGGCAGCAGUGGGGAAUCUUGCGCAAUGGGCGAAAGCCUGACGCAGCGACGCCGCGUGGAGGAUGACGGCCUGGU